UACAGAGGGUGCAAGCGUUAUUCGGAAUUAUUGGGCGUAAAGAGCGCGUAGGCGGUCUGAUAAGUCUGGUGUGAAAUCCCUGGACUCAAUUCAGGAAGCGCAUUGGAUACUGUCAGACUCGAGUACAGGAGAGGUGAGCGGAAUUCCCGGUGUAGAGGUGAAAUUCGUAGAUAUCGGGAGGAACAACAGUGGCGAAGGCGGCUCACUGGACUGUAACUGACGCUGAGGAGCGAAAGCGUGGGGAGCAAACAGG
rnacentral:rRNA from 1 species